CUGCAUGUUGGACUUUUUAAAGUCAUACUUCUUAAUGCAAUAGAAGUAUGAAUAUAACCAGUACAUGCUAUAUAAAAAUAUAGGAGUUUUCAGGGCUGCCAACCUUGCAGUAAAGGUUGAGUAGUAGUAUAUUUCUCCUACAUCA
rnacentral:snoRNA from 15 species